GACGUAGGGCGCGAGCGUUGUCCGGAUUUAUUGGGCGUAAAGAGCUCGUAGGCGGCUUGUCGCGUCGUCCGUGAAAACUUGGGGCUCAACCCCAAGCUUGCGGUCGAUACGGGCAGGCUAGAGUUCGGUAGGGGAGACUGGAAUUCCUGGUGUAGCGGUGAAAUGCGCAGAUAUCAGGAGGAACACCGGUGGCGAAGGCGGGUCUCUGGGCCGAUACUGACGCUGAGGAGCGAAAGCGUGGGGAGCGAACGGG
rnacentral:rRNA from 1 species